CUACGGGGGGCUGCAGUGAGGAAUAUUGCGCAAUGGACGAAAGUCUGACGCAGCCAUGCCGCGUGCAGGAUGACGGCGCUAUGCGUUGUAAACUGCUUUUAUAGGCCAAGAAACCUUCGGACGUGUCCGAAGCUGACGGUAGCAUAUGAAUAAGCACCGGCUAACUCCGUGCCAGCAGCCGCGGUAAUACGGAGGGUGCAAGCGUUAUCCGGAUUUAUUGGGUUUAAAGGGUCCGUAGGCGGAUCAUUAAGUCAGUGGUGAAAGCCGGCAGCUCAACUGUCGAACUGCCAUUGAUACUGGUGAGCUUGAAUACGGUUGAAGUUGGCGGAAUAGGUCAUGUAGCGGUGAAAUGCUUAGAUAGCACCUAGAACACCGCUUGCGAAGGCGGCCGACUAAGCCGUUAUUGACGCUGAGGAACGAAAGCGUGGGGAGCGACCAGGAUUAGAUACCCGAGUAGUC
rnacentral:rRNA from 1 species